rnacentral:rRNA from 1 species
CCCUUAGAUGUUCUGGGCCGCACGCGCGCUACACUGAUACAAUCAACAAGCAGUUUCCUUGGCUGAAAGGUCCGGGUAAUCUUGUGAAAUUGUAUCGUGAUAGGGCUUGACGAUUGUAAUUAUUUGUCACAAACGAGGAAUUCCUAGUAAGCGCAAGUCAUCAACUUGCACUGAUUACGUCCCUGCCCUUUGUACACACCGCCCGUCGCUCCUACCGAUUGAAUGUUAAGGCGAACCCUCCGGAAACGUGGUUUGAUUUGGGCAACCUCUUUGAACCAACGAUGAAGUUGUGUAAGCCUUGACAUUUAGAGGAAGGAAAAGUCGUANCA